rnacentral:tRNA from 1 species
ACGCGGCUGGCUCAGUUGGUAGAGCGUGGGGCUCUUGACCUCGUGUGGUGAGUUCAAGCCCCACACUGGGUG